AGCAGCUUUCUAAUCAGCUGUGUCAAGCGAGCGUCUCGUCUAUACGAGGGUUUCCUUGUUUAGAUUUCCUGGAGAAAAAGCCGAUGCAAACGACCGUAAUGAUCCCUACGAGGUUAGCAGCAGUAUAUAGGAGCCUUUAGGUCCAGGCGAGUUCCGCAGUUGCCCUGUCUAUGUAAACCCUUCUUCAGAGCCUGCACCCCCAUCUACUCAAAGGAAAGAAAAGCAGUUAUAUAAGUCAAGUCAGUAAGAUAAGGAAAGCGCGCAGCCUUCCGCCUCUAAGUCUACACCCUUUAUACCUUCCUUAGGUUUCCGUUUUCGUUUCAGUGUGGGGCGAGUUUCUUUCGAUGCAGUUCUAGGAUUACUCUAAUCGGCAGCUUUGGAAUAAUACGCUUCACCCAUAUAUUGGAAUAAUACGCUUCACCUAUAUAGAAUGGAGGGACUAUGCUUUCUGCCCCUAUGGAAUAUGCUUGAUUCUCUUACCCUAUCUAACUUCUUCUUAAUAGUUGGAAUAAGGUGAGUGCUGGCCCAGUCUUCUCUAAUCUCCUUAUCGAGCUACCGAUCUUACAGCGCUUUAUUGACUAUAAUCCCUUCGAUCUCAAGGCUAGGUAAAUUAUUAAGGUUCAUUUUCAAGCAGAAGUAUGGAAAUGGGGCAAGCAAAUAAGCAAGCGGUGGGAUCUUUCAGACAAGGUAAAGGUCUAGAGCAGGCCAGAAGGCGGGACUAUUUCUUUUUCUUUCCUCAAAGGAGAAAGGGCUAGAUUCAUUUGAAGCCGGUUCACAGGUCCAUCCAAUUUCCUUAAAAGCUAGUCAGUGAGAAAGGGAAUAAACAUGGUGAAGCGAAGAGGGUUAGAAUGAAUACUAUACUUCUCCUAGGCGGGUUUCAUGAUGGAUGACUCCGGGGCUUAGAUUGCUCACAGGAUCAAAGCACUUUCUUGAUCACUGUCUUGCUCACUUAACCUUAUUUCUAACACUUACACAAAGGCUUGACAAGGUAUGGAAGAGAUAGAGGAGAGAAAACGGAACUAAGGGAUAUAGAAUGACAGGCAGUAGAAUGACAGGCGGAACGAAUCCAAGGGCUAGUCUCAAACUCUGAUAAGCCCAGGUGAGAAACUCCCUCUUACUACUGUAUGUUCAUAAAUCCUAGGCAAAAGCCCCUGUCUCUGUAACAACCAAUAGUCAAUUGAGCCACGGGAAUAAGCUUGAGUACGGAACUUAGAGCUACGAGAAUAAGCUUGAGUAAAGCUGUACUGUGAACUUAGCUACGGGAAUAAGCUUGAGUAAAGCUGUACUAAACUUAGCUACGGGCUUCUCCCUUACUUCUUCUUAUAUGGGAGCUUGCAUUGAUGCCAUCUUUAUUAGCGCCGGAUCUCUGGGCCGUAAUACUUUGAUAAUAGCCCUUCUUCCUUGCUUUCAACUAAGAUAAUAGCCCUUCUUCCUUGCUUUCAAAAAGGGGGAAGUUCUCUGCGCGUUCAUUCUCUUUCAUGUCGGAAAUCCUCUUUGAUUCUAAAGAUAGACAUUUCCAUAAAAGGCAUUUCGUCAGUCAUAUGAUUGUGAAACUUCUAAAAUAGGAGCUUAUUUGAGAACAGCUGAUUAUAAUGUCAAAAGGAACCUCCUUUUCUGAAAACAAACCGGGCAUACCUCUAAACUUACCUUCCCGCUUCAUCUCUUGAUUCUUAUCCAGCUGUAGAUCUCGUUGUUGCCAAGACAGAUGAAACUCAUUCACUUGCGCCAACAAAGCUAGAUGAACCUUCCACUUAUUAUUCUAUCGAUAAAGCUUCUUCUCGAGCUACUGGGCUACAAACUGCGCAUUCAGAGACUUAAACACUGACACUUAUACUUUACUGGGACUUUUCAUUCUCUAACCACUGCAUCGGUUCUCUGCUUUACUGACUUUUAGUCUGACUUGACUUUCUCUUGGCCUGGUCUGCCGCUUCCCGAUUCGGAUUCUAUUUUUAGGGGUACCUGGCUCAUAACUGAACUAACCAGUAUAAGUAUGAGAAUGAAGAGCUGACCCUCCACGCCUAUGUUCACCUUUCGCUCUGCCUAUCCUGUCUUAAAGCCUAUCGUUCCUGUCUCUCGUUCUGCUACCACGUCUAUGAAGCCUAUCUCUACUAGCUAUGAAACGAAAACUCUAGUUUCUCACUCCUUAGAGCUACAGCUUUGGAUCCACCAAACAACUACGAUGAAAAGAAAUUCAAAGAAAAGGGAAUUAACUAACCAAUAAGGGGAAUGGAGUGACUGACUAUAAGAGUAAAACAAAGAAAUAGGACUUAUCCUACCGGGCUGACUAUCCAUACUUGGAUUCUGGAAUUACAAAUAAGGGUCCUCGCUCUACAGCCUAAGAACCUUGCUCCACUGGCUUUGAUUCUUCUACUAAUACUCAGGUCUAUGAGCCUUGCUUUACUGCUUUGAAACCUAUAUCUCUUUGCUUGAAACCCACCUCUCCGCCUACCUCAUCCGUAUAUCUCUUCUAGCUAUCAAACAACUAACCCUUACUUUGAGUCUGAAUUACCUGUCAAAGAUUCAUAUUCCUCUAUUCCUAACUCCCUCCUAAGGAAGGGCAACGGGAUCCAACCCAAAAGUCAGAGAAUGGAACCAUCACGGGAAAGAAUAGAACCCGGGCGCCUAAGUCUCCCCCUCCUUGGUUGAAACCUAAGACUUAUUACUUUUCUUAUUUCACUCUGGUGAUCCAUUAUUUCACUGGUGAUCCGGGUCUUGGCCUUAUUGGCUGUAAGGCGGACUUGACUACCUUUGUUUUCAUUCUACUACUCUAUACUUGAGAACUUGCUUCCACAGAUAAGUAUACCGAUCCCCUAGAGCAAAGCCUGUCCGGACUCUAUCCUAAACUUAUACUGCUACCAAUAAGACUUGAGCUAAGAAGUGGGAAUCCGACCCAUCAGUCUGGGAAUUGAAACUCCUAAGUAGAAUCAAACUCAUAAGAAUAAUAAUUAGGGUACGCAUCUAGGAUAAGAGGAAGAGAAAAAACUCAGACUGAAGAGAAUCAAACUAAGCAGUAUAAGCAUCAAACUGGUAGAGCCUUGCACCCGAGAGCCCACACUCUUUCUCUUGAACCAGAUCCUUCCCUUGCUUUACUGACAUCAAAGCUGCCCUGACUUUCUUGGCCUGUCAUACUUGGGGGUAUUGAUCGAUACUCACUUGCCCCGGGCUAGCUCUGAAACUACCAACCAUUAGACUUUGACUGCAGUUUCUAAUACUUAAUUAACUUGCCGGAAAGAGUGGAGCUGCUGACAAACAGACUCGAACUACGGAUUCGGAUACUGACUUGCCACGAGCUAACUCCUCCGCGACUAACUAGUAGAAUGGAACCUUGAGCCAAUAUGACUUGAGCUACUGGAAAACAGGCUUACUUUACUGCAAUCAAUACCCUAACUAACAACGGGGAAUGCUGCUAUUACUAUCGGAAUUGAACCCAUGCUAGAAAGGGCCAAGUAGGCAAGGAAGCUCUUGUUCUUUUCCGUAGUCAACUAAUUACAUUCCAUUCCAGGAGUUCUAUUCCCCCAGCUUCCUCACCUCAUAGCUCAAUUCUUAUGAGUCAUAACCUUACUUGAUCACUGGAACAGGGCAUAGCAGCUUUCACACACUCCCCGCUCGGACCUUAUCCAAUCCUAGCUACCAAUCGCCCCUGCCGCUGAGAUUAGGACUUGCUCAUAAUGCAUUAGAACCAUUUAUGACUUGUUAUGUGUUUGGGGCAUCCACUUACGAAUUAACUCGGGAAAACAUAAUUGGUUAAAGCCUUAUUGCCUCCUGGCUAGCUACCUCUGGCAACUAGAAUACCUGGCUCAUUACAGCUGCUGGGAACUAACAUACCUGGCUCAUUCUUCUGGUUCAAACUAUGUUGCUUGGCCCUUUCCGCUUCUCCUAUUUCGGAGUAUAUCGGUAAAGAUCCUCCUCUAAUACGAAUGUGUAAUCGCUGUAUCUUAUGGAGAGGGAAAGAUUGAGCUGUAUCUUAGAAUAGAACAACCAACCAGAACAGCACCGGAAGGGCCAUCUCCCUAGCAACUAUUGAAAGGCCUUCAGAACAUCCUCAUCAUAACACUUUCCGUUAUUUAAUAAGGUACCGAAGCAUUUAUUUGGUAGAAGGAAGCUUCGAUAAAGAUUAUGUAUUUCGCUUUAGCAGCUAGGAGUUGUUUUCGAAACCAAGCCAUACCCUACCUAUCCAUGAAAGAAAGACUACAUAGACUAAUGGGCAGCUUCGAAAGCAUCAACUACUGGAAAGAUUGCAACGAGGUAAACUAAACUAACGGAAAGGGUACAUGCCUCUUACUAGAAAAUCCAGUCAAGGCUCCGGGGAUAGUCCGAUACCUCAACAAAAUGGGAAUGAUUAAUGGAAAGUAACGUGGGAAGACUUGGAUUUCUUAACUCAAAAAGGCAAAGGAAUUCCUCCACUAAUCGAUACGGAAAUGCUUCCACACCCACAAUCGAUACAAUACUGACAAGACUCAAAAGAGAUAAGGAGUCAACUGCUGCCCUUAUUUAUAGGCUUAAAGGAAGGCUGGAAGCUACGCUCCGCGGUGUAGGCUUCAUAACUGUUGCAGCGGCUUAUGAUUGGAAUAGGAUCUUUGAGCGAGCAACGUCCGAUUCUCCAGAAAAGACGGACUGCCACGAAGGCACUUACAAGAAGAAAGAGGCCUUAGAUCGCCCCUGCACCAUCAAUUAUGAGGAACCGCCCAUCAAUCAAGGAAGAAAUCCAGAAAGAAGUAAGCUUACGGGGCUAGUACUUUUUCUAAGUCGCCUAGUAAAGGAUAAAGGCAAUUCGCCUUAACAAAAGCAAUAAAGGGGAAGAGUCAAACAAAGGAAGUCCCAUUCCCUCCUUCUUCUUGCUAAUCGAUGAUAGAUAGGAGAUCAGGUUAGCCCUACCUUUUUGGAUCCCUAACCCUAAUCCAGUCUCUUAGUAGUAGGCCGGGAAAGUCAAGAAGUAGGCAUCGUACCAAUGGGAUUGAGACUGCGCUCUUUACCUUUCUCGGUUCGGGUGCAUGCACAUAUACGCUCUCUCAAAGCAUUUCUUUCUUCCUAUAGAAACACAAGUAGCAGAAAUCUCCCUAUGGUUUUAUGGAAUUCCAGAAAGCACUUUGCAACCCUCGAUCCAUUACUAAAAACCAUAUAUUACUAAAAACCAUAUACUAACCUUAUUCCAAUCAAAAGUGAUUCUUUUGUGAAACUCGUUGGCUCUUUUCGUAUAAGUUUCGAAAAAGAAGUUCUCCUAUUCGCUGCCGGAUUGAAAUGGGGAAGGGCCCAUGCUUUGAUUUUUCGAUGAGAAAUCCAUUCCAUUCUCUGCAUACUGCAAUAGAUUCCUUCCUGAAAGCUUUGGUAAGUGGAUGUAUAAUGAAUUCAUUCCUGUUUCCUUCAAGAGCAAUCAUAAGACUCUUCAUAUCAUGGCCUUUAGGAAAAGAGUCCGUCCCCGAUCUCAUUUGUGGAUAAAAGAAUAGACCCUCGUCAUUAGGGCUAGAGUUCAGUAAAGCUAUGCUCAUCUUUAUUCCGGCUCAUAUGUUGAAGCGUAGACAAGUCUUUCUCAAGGCUUAAACAUACUUGCUUGCUUGUCGCGAAGUCUGUUGGUUCUACGCCAGAAACCCAUUUGGAUUUCUUUGCAUACACUCGAUCAGUAGGCCCGCACCGUGGCGUGGUCUAUGUCUACUAAUCCAAAUUACCCCUUGAGUCUCGCCAUUUGCUUUUAUAUAGGAAGGUAUCCAAGACCUAGUACAAGCUAUCCAUCCUAUUUCAAUAAAUUGACAACAUCCUGGGAUGGAUUAGUUUUGACCCUUGCUCGUAUUCACCGUUUCAAACAACUGAGCAAGAGGGAUGUCGGCGGGGACCGCCCUUCUUUUUCCGCCUUACCCACCAUGUUCACUAUUACAUCGGAUACAUCGGAAACCUUCCAAUCAGAAGAAAAACUUCCUCUUUGGCUUUGAAGCUACAGCUACCACUUGGAAUCAAAAGCGGAAACAACGCGACGUUGCUAUUAGCUUAUUUAUUGACUUCACUUGAGGCAUAGGCGGGAUAGGGCUUUGCUUUAGCAUAGGGCUCACAAAUGCGACUGGUUCAGGUCAACUAUGAUGGUGGAUACAGGUAAAUGUGCAAAUUGCUAGGCACUAGGUAUACCCUAUGACAUUUCAUUGGCUUUUGAUAUGCAUAGCUAUCUCUCGUUGUGAGUCUCGGUCGGCUUCAGGCUCUCUCUCUUUUCUACUUUGACUCCCAGCCGUGUUCCAGGCGCCUGGAUUCCUCCGUCAGGUAGGCUUUCCGCAUUCUUCAAUAUUGCGAGGGUCUUCCCUAGUUUCCUUCGAUUUAUAAGCUUGGUCUUUGUCAUAACGGAAUCUCGGGUCUGGAGAACGAGGCAGACAACGACCUGAAAGAAAAUAGUAUCCAAUUCAAAAGAUGAUCUUGUAGGCAAGGAUACAGAUCCAAAUCCCUGUGGGGCAGAUUGAUUCUGGAAAUAUAUUGAACCAGCACAAGGUAUACAAUUCAUAACUAACACACACUAAAUAAUGUAUAUUCUACCCCCUGGCAAUUAAUGGAAUUGACUGGCCCCCCACUGGACAAGUAAAGGAGGGACAUUUGACUCCCUAGGCGUCGAAGACAUCUCAGUAAAGUACGAAUUAGCGGGGCCAAGCCUCAUCACUCAAACGAAACUAUUGGAGAAUGGAGUUACGGCCGGUGUCCAAUGCAGGGAACCAUUCCUAGCCCGGUAGAGGCAGGGCUUUCAUAGCGUUGUUCGACCGACCACGAAAGCAAGAGUCAAGAGUCGGCAAAAGUUCACCACAGAAAACAUAGUUCAAAUAGCAAGCAAACCAGAGAAAGCAUUUGAGAGUUAUUGCCUCUAUGAAAGUGAAGAAGAAAUGCACUCGAUUCCUAUUCUUUUGAAACCUCAGCUCGGGUCACGGAACUCUCUGCUCUUGGCUACGAAACUAGGCUUUGAUCUGAAUCGAUAAAGAAAUGGUUUAAUGGGUUAGUCAAUGUCGGCCUAUGCAAUGGUACACGAGUACCGAUAGUUCGAAAGACAGAACUCUUUUAUCUAAACAUAUAUAAGCGGCCUCCCUCUUAUAUACGAUACCACAGCUGCCGCUUCCUUUGCAAUUGGGGUGGGGAUCCUUGGAAGAUUGAUUCCACCAUACCAGAAAACGAAACUGCUUCCACUUGAGCCAUUCUACUUUGAACAGAAACCAUUCGUUCAGAGUCGAGAAGAGUUAUCAUCUUAUCUGUAAGAAACAGCAGGAGAUAAGAAAGAGAACAAACAGGAUUCUUUCCAAGUUCAAAGAGACAGAUCACUCCUAGCUUGGGCCGACAAGACAUCCAAUCCAAAGAAAUCGAGAGAGACUAAUUGAAACUUUAUUGAACUCAAAGAAGAAAGAAAGAAAGACCCUAGCUAGAUGACCAAAGAAAUCCCAUGAAAUCGACUCCUAAUGCCCAACCCACCAAGACCGCUUAUGUAAACCUAAACUAAGUAAAGGCUUUUGAUUGAAGAAAUGCCUUAGCUAAUAAAGAAGGGGGAGGCAUCUUGAUUCGGCUUAUUCCACUGCUGCCGGCAAUCUUAGAAUGAAUGGGAUCCUUCCGCUUCCGUUCCUUAGCGACGUAACCCGAUCUCCAGACGACUGUAAGAUCCGCUAUCGCUUCGCCUGCUCUAUUUCUCAUCGUAUUCUUUAGAGUAUUAAGUAUUGCUUGCCUUCCCUUACUUCUUAUCUUAGUAAUCCAAAUAAGGGGUCGGAUAGUCGGUUGCUGCCUUACCGUUGUUAGGUUCGAAUCGGGUAGCUGAGCUCUCUUCUGAUUAUAUGAAGUCAGUAGCGGGUUUAUAUAAUUGCUUAACUGUGUGUGUAAUGUCGACGCCCUAAUACCCCAAAAGAAGAAACAGGUCAAUGCAAUGGGAUAGGAAGAAAGGGAGCGAAGUGACUACUGCAUAAACAGCCUAUUGGACAAGACAAGGAAGAAGGAUCAGGGGGAUUCCAAAUGCAAAGCCAAACGCCGCCCGAUGCCGGUGAGUCAGGUAGGGUCGAGUAAAUUCAUUCAACAAUUCCAUGAGCGGGAGCGGACCUUUCUUUAAGGGAAGGCUAAUAUCUAGGCUAAUAUUAUUGAACCUGAACCCUAUAGCAAUCAACGCACCUUUGGUUUUGUCAACACUGAGAAGCGAAGAGAAGUUUGGCACAGAAAAAGCCAUGCUCUGCUAAAGGGAAUCGGUGGGGCAUUGCUUUCUUUAACUAGUUCACUAUAAAUCAGAUAGAAUAGAAGGCUAAACAACUUCCUAAAAAGGGCUCCUUCGGGCGGGCAUUAACACGGAUCUAACGACUAUUGGCCGAUCUCAUUCUCAUGCACGUGGAUAUCUUUACCUAUGGAUCUUCCCUUUCCUUUAGGACAGCCAGAAGGGCGGAGCUCUAUGUUCUAUUGAAAGCAAGCUGUCCUAUCUGUCUAUUAGUUAAAGCUGUGAUGUGGCAUUUCUUCAACAGCAACUUCACAUGCACAAACGGACCACUCAGCACUUCUAGGAGUCACCCCUUUGCUUUAGUGUACCGUCGGAUUGUGAAGGUGUUUAGUAAUCGGAUGCUCUCGAGGAAGAUGAAUUAGAUGAGCAUAAUUUCUCUCAGUAACUGCUUGGGGGCAAAGUGUUUUUUUGUGGCUUUCAUGAAGAUGAGACAAAGCUUGCUGUAUAUAUAUUCCAUUCACUCUUUGAGAUGUGAGGUGCCGGAGUAACCUUGUAAGAUAAGGAUAUUGAUAUAGGCCGAGAGAAGAAGAUCAGAUGGUUCAGCUAUCUCUUCUCCCUAUCCCUAUGAUAGUUGACUAUGCGAAGCUAGUAAUACAGUUCCAUUCGGGGCCAACCACCUGUCUUUGGCCGACUCACUCCGGGAUAGAACACAUUUGAAACCAGUGUCUCUGAAACGAUUUGGAUUGACAAAAAAGGACAUGUCCUGCCGACGAAAGAAAAAGAUGUGAGAAGGGCCCUUACUGUCCAUGUUUAUAAAAAGCAUUCGUAUUUUAGUUGUAGGAUCUUUUACUGCCUUGUGAAAUCCUCUAUUCAUGAGGAAGAAAGAGGUAUAUUUCAGAAAGUAGACUAUAUCCAUCCUAGGGGCUGUCACUCAUUCAUUCCUUAUCGAAUCCAUAAUAUCACUUAUAUAAAGCUUGAAGCAAGUGGCAAUGUAUUGAAGUUAAGGUUCUUUAAAAGAGAGAGUGGUUCAGGCGUGCUUAAGGCAUAGGCGAUCUUCAUCAACCCGACGUAAUGUACUCACUAAUUUCAUGAAAAAGAUCGGUCGUUCUAAAUGUAAGCUUAUUUUCGAAAAGUGAAAGGGCAUUCCUUGAGAGAAAGUCCCCCAUCCACUUCUUGAACAAGCCCAUAUAACGAGCCUAGCUGUAGCAGCCCUUAUUGCGACAGAGAGAGAAAACAACAAACAAGGAAAUAAGAAAUGACUGGCCAAUCUCGUGCCCUGUAAGAAGGAAGGCUCUCAGUCCCAGGUAAAGAUCUUUUCAGGCUUGAGGAAUCCGGAAAGUCAGGUUAUCAAUCAGCAUGCUAUUUGAAAGUAAGUCCCUCGUUUAAAUAAAGUGGAGAUUGUAAGGCUACCCUAAGAUACCCACCCACCGAAACCGAAGCGGAUCUUGGGCCCUCGGGGGAAGGGGUAGGCUAUUCACAUUAGUCAAGCACUUAUAGCAUUAAGCACUUAUAGCAUUAAGUGUAUAAUGGAAUAUAUGUAUAAGAUAAGAGAGACAGAUUUCAAGGGAAGGAAAGGAGUUUUGGAUUGCUCGCAGCUAGCAGCUGACGCUGCCCUUGCUUUUUAUUGCUCACAGGAUAGAUUCCAUUGGCCUGUGCCUCACUCGAGGGAUUCCAUUUGAUGCUUUCAAUGGACGAAAGAGAAACCCCUAAAUCACCCUAUAGUAAAUAUAUCUAAAGAACCGGCCCGGCACACCUAAGAUUCCGGAGUCAAUAGCUUAUAACAUAUCCCUUCUUUCAAGAGUGCCUGUGGAAGUUGUCGUUGCUUUUUAGCAUCCAGUGAGGAAGGAAGUGGAAUACUUGCAAGUGUGAAGGCUAUUCAAAUAGACAAGCUUUAUCUCCUAUUCGAUAGCUCUCGGAGUAUCUCGCAAGCUAUCCGAAAAAAGAGAAAAAGCAGCUAAUCUUUCAAAGGAUAGAAAGUCAUUGUAGCUAAUCUUUCAAAGGAUAGAAAGUCAUUGUCGGAUGUCUUUGAAGAAAGCACAGCCCUUGGAAUCCAUCUGAGGAAGCUCUUGUCUUGCUGCGGAAAAUGACCUAGUGCUUAGCUAGUGGUUAGGCAGUAGAGUUGGCCGGGCAAAGCAACUACUAUUAGUUUCAGUUUCAAGAUAAGGAGAAAGAGAAUCCGAUAGAUCAGAGGUUGUGUGAGCUCCCGACGAAUAAAGAACUUUGGAAGUAUAUUGACAAGCUUAUAUAACAAGUGCUAAACCAAGGCUAUGGCAACUCAUAAGGUUAUUGCUCAGCCAAGUAACGACUAGACAAAGACACUCUAGACAAAGAAUGCAACUCAAACAUUGGAAUUAGUGGUAGGGGUGUAAUAGAAGAUGUCACUAGCCUCUCCAUGGGUUCUAAAGUCGGAAAGUGAGAAUUCCAUUCAUAAGUCUGAGUUUACCCCCCUCUCGCCAACACUACGUUGCUUGUCUAUCCGCUUGUUGGUGUCUUAAUAGGGAUAGGGGAUUUUUCUGUUAGCAUAGUGAAACCUCUGUUCCAAUGUGUUUUUUCUUGAUAACAUAGCCCAGCAGAGAGAGUAGUCGACUUUCCGCGGGCAGCUGCAUAAACAUUAUUUCCGGAUACUCCUGCCUUUCGCCUCGCACUAGGAUGAAACAAAAACUCUACUUUUAGAACAGUUGACUUGCGCCUUAAUCGAUUAACAGCUGGUUCUCAAACUGCGGAUUCUUUCUAUGACAAAUAAGGUAAAGCCAAUCAAUCACCUCUAUCUUAGACACAGUGAUGAAGUGAAGAAGCACAAACAAACUAUAAGGCAAAGGCAAGAAGGAAGAAGGCGGAUUUCCAAGUCAAAGCAAUCUGAAUCAGACAAUUAUCAUCGACAAACAGAUUCCACUAGGGAUGAAACUGGGCCAAGCAAUUAGGCAAGGAGCUUGUCUAUAAGUGCAAGCUACGUAUAAUAUGGUUAGUUACGCCAUCUAGUGAAACCAUCUUCUAUAUCCAUAAUACUAGUAUAGUCGUUUGGUUACUCAUCCCGGCGCUUGGUCAUUAGUAGUUGUUGGGUUACAGACCUGAGCCUAGUAAUGGUCCCUGGCUUUCUCCUUUGCAUUCAAAACAACAACUCCACCAGUAGCUUGUUCCGAGUCAACCACUCCCUUACAAGCAAGUAGACCAGUCAUUUCACUUGCUUGCUAUGAAGCAUAAGAUCAGAGAACUCCUCACGCGUAACCAAGCAAACUAGCAACGGAAGAAGAUAAUACCAACCGUAGCUACGACUUCUGGAACUCUACUUGAACAGAUGCAACUCUUUCUUCUCAAGUGGAGGAAGGCAGAAUGAACUCUUCCUUAUCUCGAGUCUAAAACAGAUGAAACUGUAAGCAGCAGCUGAUGAUCAAUAGGAAUAAGUUGCAUCUUUUUGUGGAACAAAUCAUUCUUAACCGGAAACAGCUACUCUACGCGUGCUUUCCUCUUCUGCAAUCACUCCACUUUCCUUUCGAACGGAUUCCUAAUACUCAACAAGUGACAGAACAAAUAGACUUUACUGCAGCAUUCCAUUUCAAAUUGACUCUAUCUCUUCUCUUACCCGCGCAUUCCAAAAUGGAUUCCUCUUAUUAAGACGAUUCAAGUAGAACAGUCCAUUCUCUAAGUAGUGAAGUCAGUCCUAUUGUAUUUCUCCCUAUGUUUCUCCCCUUUUGAUUAAGUAAGAAAAUCCGCAUAUAUCUCCAGUCCUAGCGUAAGGGAGUGCCCUUAUUUUCUGGUAAGCUGCCAUUGUGUGCUGCGUAUUUGGUUUCUCUCUAGUUCCUGUGGGAGCUACCUGUCAUCGAGUGCUAGUUCCGAGUCAUGCACUUCUUUUGAGUUAGAUAUCCCCAUUUCUAUCAAAAAGGAAAGCACUAUCCUAACCUAGAAUAUGAUAUUCUAUAUUGCAAGUAAAUAAAAGGAAAUAAUACAACAACUAGACAUUUCUAUUGGAAAAGAGCAUAUUCUAAGAAUCCUCCAAACCACCUUAAGGCCGCUCACAUUCCAUUCCUUCUAGGCGUGGUGUAAGGACGGGGGUACCCUCGAUUUAAGCCUGUUUCCGUGCCCAAUUAGAUCAUAUUUCCGAUUUCCAGGCAAUAGUUUCUAGUUAUAGCUAAGUGCUUCCAGCGCGAUCCACAGCCUAGGGAAUAAGCCCCGAGGUCAUCUUUAGAGGUCCCUCUUGAUUAUUGCCUUUGCUUAUCCAAGUAAUCCAGCCGAGCCAGUGUGAGCGCCUCCUCAGGAAGUUUCAGAAUAUGUCUUAUCGAGGACCGGUCCUAAGCAGGUAUGAAUACAUCUUUCCUUUGUUGUAGGGCCGGCUUGAAUAUGGCUCCGUACUAUACUCUCUAUAUAGCGUGUAUAAGGCCCGCUUGUCUAAGGCCAGCAUAUAUAGCCUUUAGUUCUCGGCUGGAAGUUCUCUAUUACUGUAGUUUUUUGAGUUUGAAAGCCUUUCGCACAAGCAAGUGGUGAUAACAAACCCUAAAUGCGAAAAAGGGCUUACCAAAAUAGAAGUAUGGCAUAGGCAUACUUUCUUUUAUACAGUCGAGCAUAAGUUUGCUGUCCAGUUAUUAAGCAUUAUCCGAGUUUAGGAAGUACUACAUAAAGCUCUCCUCUGCCUGAGUUAAGGAAGUACUACUACUACAUAAAGCUCUCCUCUGCAGGCCAAAAGCCGUUUGAUUUCUAUCAGAUCAGGUCCUUACCUUGCCCUUCCAGUUUCCGUGGCAGUUGUUAGCCAAUGUUCAAUCCUCAGUAUGUACGUCCAUGGAAUUUCAAAGGAGGCUCACUAUCCAAAAGGCUAUUAGGGCAACUAUUUCUCCCCAAAAUACAAUAUCUUCCCGCUUUCCCGUCACGCUAUAUAUUCCUUUGCAUUGUAUAUCACGAGUGUUAGUUUCCACUAGCUUAGGAUGGUUUCUUAUGCUAUAAAGAUGGAGAUAGAUUGAUUGAGGAGAUUCAAAGGGAGAAACUGCUUAUAUUCCUCAAAUCUUAUAUAGAGAGAACAAAGAGCAUAUAUUCCGAUAGUAGGUGUACCGUGAGUGGAAGGGCUAUAAUUCUUCAAUAACCCCGAGCUCAGUUCUAGGGUGGCAAUGUGGUUUUUCCAGAGGUGGUAGAGGCGGGCCAACGGAGGUCUUUCAGUUCUACCUAUCGCAUGCAGCCACGCAUCCGAGUCCAUUUAAUGAAAUAAGCUACCAGUGUCACCAGUGUAAUAACCAAUUCAUUAGUCUUAACCGGUGAAGAAGGAAGAAUGGACAAGUUUGUUUUGCAUUUCUUUCCGAGACCUUAACAAGGCUUGCAAAAAAGAGCACUUUUCACUGCCACCCCACAUUGAAAUCCUCGUGUAGAAAAACGCUGGCUACGAGAUGUUAUCAUUCAUAGACGCUUUUCUCCGGCCAGAUUAAGCUCGCUAAAGAAGAGCAAGAGAAGACAUCAUUCACUACACCCUGGGGAACCUACUGCUAUGUUGUCAUGCCAUUCGGACUUCCAAAUGCUGGAGCCACAUAUCGAAGGGCCGGCCAUCUUUCCAUGAUAUGAUACACGACUGUAUGGGAGUAUACGUUGAAAUCCCGGGAAGCUAACCUUCGUCUAGUCCUCGAAAGAGCCCUAAAAUGGAAGCUCAAUCAGAAUCCAAAGAAAUGCUCGGUCUAUCUGCCGGAAUGCUCCUCGGCUUUAGUGGCUUGAUCAUAUAGGAUUUUACUCAAUCAAAGGAAUUGUUAGCAAACGAGGGCAUUAAGCGUGGAUCCGUCCAAGGUGCGUGCUAUACUCCAGAUGUCUACGCCAAAUAAUAUCAAAGAACAGCGAGGUCUCAUUGGAUUGACCUACUUCAAUCAAUUCAAAGAAAGAGAAAUAGGCUCAUUGACAGCUAGCCGCGGACCGACUAGAGGAAAUCCUACUAAGCACACUGGUGAAAUGAUGUAUCUUAAAUCAGAAAUCUGCAGGAAGAGCAGCAGUUAGUAGUUAGCGCGAAGGAGCUCUUUCGCUGAAUCAUCAUCGGUUCUAUAUCUUUUACCUUAUUCCAAAGGUCCUUUUCUAGAGGGGCGAAGACCACUUCCCCAUUUGAAGAGAAAGGCUACUAGUACGCUCUUUGAAGGAAAGAAAAUAAUGCGCUGGUAGGACAACACUCUAGUGGGAAAAUAGACAAGACAGUCAAUCCAUUCUUGAAAGAAGGGCUUGUUUGCUACGUGAAAUGACAUAGGUUUCCAUCUUAUUCAGAUGCUCAAUUACCGGUCUUUACAGUAUUGCUAAGAGUUUGCUUGCACUGGAUUGGCAGGCGACGACAUCUAUGGAAUUAACGUUAACGGCCAAGGAUAGGAUUUUCGGAAGAAAGCUGUCCAAUUGGAUAAGGGACAUAGCUAAGGAAAAGAAAAGAUCCAACUCAUCGAAAGAUGCCCCGAAGGAACUGCAAGAGAUGAGACAGUUGCUUUCACUAAAGGACCGAACGUUAUAGCCAUAAUCUGAGGUAGGGCCUUUAUUACAGUGGGAAAGAUGCAUCGAAAGUAUAGGCCUUCCUUCUUCCUUUCUUUAGUUUGGACAAAGGGUCUCUUCUCUUUACUGUUGAUGCGGCAUAAAGGCAGUUAGGAAUCGAUCUAUAUGCCAAGAAUAAGACAAGGAACUGACAACGCUAAGUAAGAGCCGGGAUAAAGAUAGGCCGUAUCCAGGAAUGGCGGGAUGCCUAAUGUCUUAGAUAAGGCACGGAACUAAUAGCAAUGGAAUCAUAAUCUUGAGUAAGGACAAAUCCGGCUAAAACAUAAUUGAUGUGAAACAGGGGCUUUGACUUUCAUGAACCAAUAGACUAUAUCCUGCCAUAUAAAUACACUCUCGAGCUAUGUUAGGACUGAAAGGGAUAGCUACGUUCUUAAGUUAGAUAGAUUGUUUGAUAACUCAGAAGAACUCAUAGACUAUAAAUCACUUAAAGUCUUAGAAGAGUUAUUAAGUUAGACAGAGAGAUCACUCUUUCUCUAUAAUAAGCUUUCAGGACAAUGAGAGACAGAGAGUGAGAAUUGUGACUCCAAAGAGGGAUUUAUUAACCUUUACGUGAUCGGUAAGACCUCCAUUCCAUUAUCACACUCCACUUCUUGUCCAGCUCUAGCAAUUCCAGUUGUUGGCGACUCGAAAGGUUCUUUUGUUGAAGUAUAAGGAGGUUCACUUGAUUGACUUUAAUCGUUUAUGGAAUCAGAGGUGUUGUAUCGUAUAGAAAAAAGGGUCAUUAUGGAAUCAGAGGUGUCACUCGCAAAGUCAAUAAAUGGAAUCGCGGUGCGACUUACCUUCUCAAGCACACAGAGACUCGUAGAUGACACUGACUUACCGCUUCUGAAGGACAGAAAGAGAGACCUGUUCCUAGAUGUACCCAAUUCUCUUAUGUACCCAAUUCUCUUAUUUAUUCUUUUUUUUGCACUCCUAUAUUCUUAAAGCAAUGGAACAAACAGACGAGCGACUCGGCGCCAAGUAACGGAUAGAAAAGUCACUACUACAAAGGCAAAGAGAGGAGACAAGCAACUAUGGCUGGGUAAGAGACGGAGUUAACGUUGUUAGCCUUGCAGGAUUCUGUUUCUUGAUCAGAUCCAUCACCUCAAAUCUAUGGUGAGUGCAACCAUCCCUUAUUAAGUAGGUAAGAGUCAAAGGUAACAUAAGAGGGCUUUCUCACUCAUGUUGUAUUAGGGUUGACUUUCGAGUGGCUUUAACUAAUUCCACAAAACAAAACAAAGGGCCACGCGUUACAGCAAUACCAUAGAGAAAGUGAGCUUAGAAAAGAUCCGAGUCCAAAAUAGCUUGGAUGUUUAAUGUAUUCAGUACGCCGGCAGGCAGAGCCUAAAACAAAGGAUCGUUUCGCUGGAAUGAUGAAUCUAGAUACUCCCAUGAAAAGGCUCUUAGGACUCUAAAACGAAUGAAGAAGUAAGAAGCGCCUGUGGUAGCAAGCAAGAAAUAGUUAGCGCCCCAUAUAUCAAUCUGAUAUUACCUCUUUCUCUAUCUGGUGAAGAGAGAAUAGAAGAGAAGAGAGUCUCAAUAGGGCACCCGUCGAGUCCAAAGCUCCAGCUCAAGCAGUUCAGUCCACAAAAAAGAGAAGUCUGCCAACUAGCUCAAGUAACAAGUGUAAAGUAGUGGAAAUCCAGUACCCAAAGGAAUAGGUAAUGCAAGAAUCAAGAGAAAAAGGGCCUUAGGGAGCAGUCAGGAUAGCAACUUUCUGGGUGGAAAAUGUGUAUACUUCAAAAGAUUAUUUGCUUUACCCGGAAGUCACAUAGUAUUCUACUCGUUUCGUAGCAUGAGAUCCUAUUGGCACGGAAGUGAAGAUUGAGAUCAGAAAUACCUCCUCUCUUCGCCAACUAUAAGCCCUUCAUGGACUAACCAUUUGUCCUCUGGAUUUGAGUGGCCUUCUACGGGAACGGAACUGACUAUGAACUUAGGUCUUGAUCCUCCCCGGAAAUGUUGUUCUAUCUGGAAGCAUCAGGGAGACGUGCAUCCUGUCUCUUACCUUACCCAUUUCCACCAACGAGUUAGAGAGUCGCUUUUCUAGAAGGAAAUCCUCUGAAUUCUAUGAUGAGCUCUUUUGAUCUCAGAAAGAGUAAAGCGUAUAAUUAUGGAAAUGAGGGCUUCUUUCCUAGCAUGCGGACAAUCUCAAGAGGGUGGUGAUGCCACUUAUACAACUACUAACACGGAGAUUAAGUGGGUCUAUUGUAUUUUCGGAAUCUCUACAUGGUGAGCUUUCUGAGCCACCCAAGCCAAUCAUCUUACGCGAUAAGAUUGAGAGGAUCCUUGCUAAAAGCUAUUCUUAUUCUGAUAGAUAGUUACUCAUCUCCAUACUUACUUAGAUAUGGAAGAGUUAUCUAGAUGACUUCGACUCAGAAGGCUAAGCUGCUACCCAAAACCUUCUUAUGAUUAAUUACUGACAGCUACAAGAUGAUCCAUAUAAUAUUAGAUUCAAGUUAUACUUCUUCAAGAGCAAAGCAUCUUAUACCGAGAAGCUAGUUCUGGCCCUGACAAGAAAAGAAGAAAGAAUAAGGAAGUGUCUACUUACUUAGUACUGAGUUAGCUUAUAUGAAAGAAGUCGAUGAACUCAUGCAAGCGCAAGGGCGAGCUACCAACUCUGGCUUUUGACUCACACACUUCUAGAAGUCAAAAAGGAAUGCGCUUCACCGGUUGAUCAUGUAUGGAACUAAACGAUCUUUGCUAUACCACGUGAGUACUACCCUGUCUUGUACUUUGUUCGACAGAAUGAAUUAAAGAAUUGCUUCCUGCGAGGGAAGGGUAUAAAAUCUCAGGGCCAACCCACUACUACAAAAGCACAGGUUGCCAGAGCGAACACUAGCUGCCCUGACGCGAAGUUGCAAGGAGGUGGAUGAGCAAGAGAAGAGGAGAGGCGUGUUGGUGCUGCCGAAUUACUAUAAGGUCCUGUUCUUGCCCUUAAGUAAAUUGCUGUAAGUACUGAGUUGUGCCGCGUAGGUCAGUUAUGAAAGUGGAGUUCAAUUGUCUAGGUUCGUAGCUAGGGAAAGAAAGAAAGAAAGGGCUGCCGAAAGAAAGGGCUGUGAACUGCUACCCACCUCCACGACGCAAAGGCUUAAACCCUUAAAGAGGAAGAGAGGAAGACCGCUUGCCAACAUAUAACUUCACUUAGCAAUUAGCAUGGUACUCUUUGUAUUUCUCUUAGCAUAUGCUCCCCAUCCAUACCUCGUAAUCCCUAUGUUUAGCUUAGCACAGGUCUUAUUCGAGACGGUUUUUUUGAUGUGUUCGGUUGGUAGGUAUCCCGGCUGAUUGAUGCUGGGGUAUGUUAUCUACAUUCAUCUUAUGCCUAGGUUCGAUUGAUGCUGGAGGUUAUGUUAUCUACAUUCAUCUUAUGCCUAGGUUCCGUUCUUAUAUCACCGUUAUUAAAAAGGCAUAAGUCUUCGUUGCACUAAGGCUUUAACCACUAACUUCGAAUUGAACAGUGCCUAUAGUGAAUCAAACAAAGAGCCCAAUGUCUAGCUAUAGGGCUUGGAUAGUCAAUAAAGAAUUGCGCCAAGCAGCAACAGAGCAAAUCCCUUUCCCGAACUCUCUCCUUCAGCUGCUCUUCCGCCACUCCGAACUCCGAGCCUUGCCCUACUUACCUGGGACCUUGCUUUGAAACCGACACCCAUUAGCAGCAUCGCCUAUCUGUUAUUUGAGUCCUGCACAGCUUUCUCUAUUCUCACUACCCAGUCUGCGACUACUUGAUCUAAGGUGUUUCUAAGCCUUGCUUCACUGUCUCCGAGCCUGCCGCUCCGACAUCUAAAUAUGUAUUUCACCCUUGACUCUGUCACUACUUCCCUAAAGUCUUUGACGCCGAGCUUAGGAUCUAGGAAAGGGAGAGCUCCGAUUCUGAUUAUGCCCUUACUUAACCUAGCAUUCCAGUCAAUGGAAACAAGAGGAUAAGAAGUCAGAGUGGGUUUACAAUCUAGUGCAUCAGAGCUCUAAGACUAAGGUAGUAUGAUCUAUUACAUUAUAAGACCCAUACCCAUAGUUGUAAGUAUAGAAUGCAACAAAGGCUAAGGAAUGAAACAAAGGUAUAUUAAUUCCACUUAUUCUCCUCGUCUACUGGCGCUUCUUCCCUACGGAAAUUCUGUCUACCAGACUCAAAAGCGUACUUAGGGAAUAGGUAGUGAACCCUAGAGACAGUAAACUCAGAAUGAAAGAAAGGUUAGUAAGAGGCGCGGUAGGGCAAAGCUCUAAGUAAAGGAUGCCAGGAACAAGUAUCAAAACUACAGUCAAUAAUUUCCGUUUUUGGGUUACGAGCUGAGGAGCUAGAGCCGUUAUCUAAGAAUCCGAGUCAGGGGUCUCCUGGGGUUAAGAGCUAGUAGCGGCAUAUUGAGAUAAGGCAUUGGAAGACCUUAAGUUAUUAGAUAUAGAAUAAGAUACAUGGAUUUCAGUUUGAUAUCAAAGAUAGAGGUAUACUAUGAGUUAGGCAGUAAGCAAGGGUUUAGGUCCAUAGUAGCAGACUAACAAUCGAGCUAUAGAGAAUGAAAGGCAGGGAACUUAGGCGGGUCGACAUCCAUAGAUAGGGAAUUGAACGACUACGAAUUCGAGUAAAACAAAGAGAUAGGGUCAAUGUAAUUGAGCUACUGAUACGGAUCUUUGCCUUACUUCACUCCAUUCUGACUGUGCUUUCUCUUACUCUUUGACUUAUUACUUGGAUUCUCCACUUUCAAACUAAAAAC
rnacentral:lncRNA from 1 species